rnacentral:rRNA from 1 species
GACGAACGCUGGCGGCGUGCUUAACACAUGCAAGUCGAACGGAAAGGCCCUGCUUUUGUGGGGUGCUCGAGUGGCGAACGGGUGAGUAACACGUGAGUAACCUGCCCUUGACUUUGGGAUAACUUCAGGAAACUGGGGCUAAUACCGGAUAGGAGCUCCUGCUGCAUGGUGGGGGUUGGAAAGUUUCGGCGGUUGGGGAUGGACUCGCGGCUUAUCAGCUUGUUGGUGGGGUAGGGGCUUACCAAGGCUUUGACGGGUAGCCGGCCUGAGAGGGUGACCGGCCACAUUGGGACUGAGAUACGGCCCAGACUCCUACGGGAGGCAGCAGUGGGGAAUAUUGCACAAUGGGCGGAAGCCUGAUGCAGCAACGCCGCGUGCGGGAUGACGGCCUUCGGGUUGUAAACCGCUUUCGCCUGUGACGAAGCGUGAGUGACGGUAAUGGGUAAGGAAGCACCGGCUAACUACGUG